AUGGACCUGCAGAUCCUGGAGCUCUGUGUGCGGGUGCUGAGCCUGGCUCGCGGCGGCCUCUGGCUCUACACGCACCCGCUGCUCAAGAUGCUGCUGCUGCCCCAGCGAAGCAGUUACUGCUCAGGUGUCACUUCACAGGCAACGUUGACUCAGCCACCCUUCCAGUCUGUGUCCCUGGGCCAAACUGUGGAACUCUCCUGCUCCCAAAGUGGUGGUGGUGAUUCUUCAUACACAUUUGGCUGGUAUCAACAGAGACCUGGGCAGGCUCCUCGCUUUGUGUUUGCUGGUACCAGCACCCGGGGAGAAGGGAUCCCAGAUCGGUUCACUGGCUCUGAAUCUGGGAACACUGGCUAUUUGACCAUCUCCAACAUCCAGAUUGAAGACGAGGCAGUUUAUUACUGUGCUACUGAUGAGGAAUCAGGUGGCUACAAGUUUCACGAUGGUGCAAUCUAA